rnacentral:rRNA from 1 species
AUUGAACGCUGGCGGCACGCUUAACACAUGCAAGUCGAGCGGUAACAUGACUAGUAGCAAUACUAGUUGAUGACGAGCGGCGGACGGGUGAGUAACACGUAGGAACUUGCCCAGUAGUGGGGGACAACCAAGGGAAACUUUGGCUAAUACCGCAUAUUCUCGAGAGAGGAAAGCUGCCGCAAGGUGGCGCUAUUGGAGAGGCCUGCGUCCGAUUAGCUAGUUGGUGAGGUAAAGGCCCACCAAGGCGAGGAUCGGUAACUGGUCUGAGAGGACGACCAGUCACACUGGGACUGAGACACGGACCAGACUCCUACGGGAGGCAGCAGUGGGGAAGCUUGGACAAUGGGGGCAACCCUGAUCCAGCGAUGCCGCGUGAGUGAAGAAGGCCUUCGGGUCGUAAAGCUCUUUAGGCUGGGAAGAAGGUUGGUAGUUUAAGAGAUAAUCAAUUUGACUGUACCAGCAGAAUAAGCACCGGCAAACUCUGUGCCAGCCGCCGCGGUAA